rnacentral:misc_RNA from 1 species
CCUGGGGUGAGUUCAUUCAAUGUCAUGGCUAAGCGUGUCAAGUUAUAUCUGGUGGGAAAUUUAGGAGGCUUGCUUUGCUUCCAAAGCAGAUGGGCAUCUUUUAGAGAUUCAAAUCCUUUUCCCUUCACAGGGCAGUCAUCCUUCAUGUAAUGCAUGCUCUCAUCCCACUUUCCAAAAAGAGUUGCCACUCUUUUACCAUUCCUGCCUUGAACUGCCCCAUGUACC